CCUGUUUGUAGGAGAAGUGUUUCUAAUCUACUACAUAGUGGAUUCCGUGAAAGUCUGGAUCAACUGAUACAAUCAUAUGCUGAAAGGAGAGUUCACACUCAUGAUGACUGGGAUCUGCACGAUAACCUGCAAACAGCAAUCCCAGAUUCUCCAGAGCGUGACAGAGACCACCAAGUAUUUGUACAGAACGAUAAUCAGCUUAAUGACAUCAAUGGUCCACAAAUGCUUCCCACCCCACCCGUGCCACCACCUCAGCCAAUAUGGCACCACUCUAGCUGGUCUCGCCACUCUAUGCAUCGGUCUGAAAUGGUAAGCUUUUCAUCUAGGGGAUUUAGCAUUGAACGUGUAACUGAUUAAUAAAUUAUCUCGAUUGAAAAUCAUAAGACUGUUCUUCUUGAAUUAGGAAUGGGAGGUAAUGAACGACCUAAGAGGAGACGUAGCAAGACUGCAGCAGGGAAUGAGCCAGAUGCAGAGGAUGCUCGAAGCCUGCAUGGAUAUGCAAUUAGAGCUGCAGCGUUCGGUUAGACAAGAAGUCUCUGCAGCUUUAAACCGAUCUGCAGGUGACCAAGGUCAGUGGCUAGUCUAUCCAACGAACUUUAAUUUGUUUCUCCGUGUACUGAUCUUUUAUACAUAGUAUUUAAGAAAAUGAAUGAUGCAGCAGGUAUGAGUGCGGAAACAUCAGAAGAUGGAUCAAGAUGGAUCCAUGUAAGGAAAGGGACUUGUUGCGUUUGCUGUGACAACCACAUUGAUGCUCUCUUGUAUAGGUAACUAAAUAUUUACUGUACAUAUUUUGCUUGUUCUCUCUCUCAGAAAUGAGAAAUGUUCUGAAUGUUGCAGAUGUGGGCACAUGUGUACUUGCUCACAAUGUGCGAACGAGCUUGUAAGAAACGGAGGGAAAUGUCCGCUUUGUAGAGCACCAAUCAUGGAGGUAAUCAGAGCCUACUCCAUUUUAUAAUUGGAAGGCGAGAAGAAGGUACAUAGAAGGCAUGAAGCAGCAUAAAGGAAAGUCAGAGUGAGAAACAUGUUCGAUUUUGAGGUUAAAGAUUUAUAUGUAUGUAGUUGUAGUUCCUUUCUCAAAUCCAAAUUUGAUGUGUACAGUUCUAAAUUAAACAAAAUUAAAUUACCCAAAAAAAAGUAAGAAAUGAAACAUCUGAUUUUACUUGACUGGGCCGAAAUUUGACUGGGCCUCAUGUAACUUAGCCCAAAGUAUACGGGUCUGUCUUGCGCUGAUUAAGGGAAAAAUAAGCUAAACCAUCUGGUUCUUCGACUUGACCGGUUUGCCGUGGACCGCAGUUAAUAUUUUUUUUAAUGGUAAAGACAAGUGGUGAAAUUGUGAUUGCCCAAUUUAAACGUGUAGACAUGGAUCCUCUUUGGCGAUAGUGCCAUUCAAUACUUUCUAUUUCAAUGCCAUUUAUAUGUUGGUGAGCUGUAUCCUUCGUAUAUAAUAUGAUGGAAACUUUGCAGUAUACUGUACCAAUCAAACCCCGCUAAUUAUUGUAUCCCACUAGUCAUUUAGCCAACCUUUUUAUUUUAUUAACAUGUUGUGUGUAUACUCUAGUAAUUUAAAUUGAAUUAAUACUGAUUUCAUGUGCUGGAACAAUCAUCAUGUUGUUUUUACGGCGUGUAUAAAAAUAUUACAGUUUAUUUAUUGUAGGUGCUUUCACGCACGAUCUAAUAAAAUAAACCGGAUCAAACGCAAUCAACAGCGAUCGUAGAAAUUAAUAGUAGUAUAUGUGUAUUUCAUCAUCGUGCUUAUCCACCUUUAUCUACAUCGCAUUUACAAGAUCUCCAUUAUAAAAAGUAAAUCCACGAUGCAAAAUAUAUAUUAGACGCUAUUUAGCUUUUUAAUUUGUUUAAUCAUGGUAAUAAUUUUACUUGUCGCUAAUCGAGGUUACCCCAUUGUUAAAGAUCAAUUUUUUCCAUAAUAUGUCAGUAUUGUCAGAGUAAAACAUUCAAUGUUUAAAAGUCGAUCUUCGACCCUCAAAUAUCACACUCAUAUGUUACGUAUAUAUAUAUAUCGUGUAGUUCAGAAUAACAUGUAUAGUUCAAAUAUUCUUUAGUGAAUGCACAAAAUGAUGUCAAUUGAUGAGCAACAAAGAUGAUUGCAACAUUUUAUGUAUCGUCCAACAAUCCAUAGUUGCAUAAUAUCUAUUAUACGCACCCCUAGUUUAUGUUAGAUAUUAAAGGGAAAAAACGAAUAGGUAAUCUAAUUAUGUAAAUGUAUAGUUCAGUAAGCAGAAAUGUCAUCACAUAAGAGGAAACAAAAGUUUAACUAAAGUCUUGUCACUUUUCUUGACACAACAUUUUUAUAUAUUUAAGCAACAGUGCAUAGUACAACAUUUUACAAGCAGUUAUAAGUUAUAACCAUGUAAUUACAGUGUUUUGAAUUAAUUCUUGCUUGUUUUGCGGAAGCUAUCAGCUACUACAUCUGCUUUUCUCAUAAUAUAUAGUAUUUGAAGAAAAUUUGUCAUACAGUUUAGUUAGCCAUAUAAUGUUACCAUAGAGUUCAUGAUUUACCGUUGGCUAAUGGUUGAAGUUGACUUUUUGCUAUAAAUGAGUAAAGAAAGUUUUACAGUCUUCAUAUAACUCACAUUUUUAUAACCCAUUUUAUAACCCAUGGUAAACUGCUUAUCUUAGAGCUAGCUAUACAUAGAAAUUUUAUAACUAACCCUCCCCCAAACAAGUCACAAGUAUAUAACUAUGUAUUACAUUCUUUUAUCUGGAAGCAUAUUUUGUUUAAAAAAAAACGAUAGCAAUUUCAACAAAAAAAAAAAUCAUACAAUGUAAUUAAUAUUUUAAUUGCGAAUUAUGUGCUAGUUUAUGGAGUAAGAUCAUUUUACACUUUAUAAAAGAGAGAUACAAUCCCUGAUUUUAGAUUUAACAAGACAAAUUAAUCCUCAGUAAAGUAAACUAGUAAUCCACUGCCACUUAGUUUGAUUAAGUGUUUAUUUCUUUCACCAUUUUCAAGACCGUAUGCUGUUGAGGAUGAAAUAGGAUAAUUGCUAUUCCAUUACUACCCCCAUCAUGUUAUCUUCCUAGGACUCAAACGGCGUCGUCUGGGAUCUUGCAGAUGUGGAGGGAGCUGGAGGACGAGCACGUGAGGGCACGUGAGAGGCUGAGGCAUCAAAGGAGCGUUGAGUCGAAUAAUACUAACCUGUCUAGCUCUGUUGCUUCGGAGAAUAAUGAGAGUGAGAAUGAGUAUGGGUCUUGGUCACGUGAUAGGAAUGAGCACGUGGAUAAUAAUAAUAAUAAUGCUUCUAGUAGAGAACAGUCUCCUGAUCUUGGAGACGGUGAGAGGGAGAGGGAGAGGGUGAGGCAUAUUGUUCGUGGAUGGAUGGACAGUGGGAUUAAUGAUCAUUCAUCUAGUGUAACGCAGAGAGACAAUAAUAAUAACCGUAGAGGGGAGUGGCUAGGUGAUACUGAGCGGGAGAGAGUCAGGGUUAUAAGGGAGUGGAUGCAAGUGACGAGUCAGCAGAGAGGAGGAGGGGGGCGUACAAGUACAACGCCGAGAGAAGAUCAGGGGUCUCUUCUUGUCCCUGAAGCUGACAGGGUGCGUGUAGGGUUAGGUGCUAAUAAUGAGGAAGGGCAACAACCUCAGCAAGUUCGUAGAGACUUGCGGAGACUAAGAGGAAGGCAGGCGUUGCUUGAUUUGCUCACGAGAGCUGAGAGAGAGAGGCAGCGGGAACUUCAGGGCUUGUUGGAGCAUCGUGCAGUGUCUGAUUUUGCUCACCGUAACCGGAUUCAGGUUGGGUUUUUCAAAUUAUUAGAUUCGUAUUUGUAUCAGUAUCUUAGCACCUCAGCUGAUUGUUGAUUGAUUUCUAAUGCUUUAAAGCUUUUCUGCAGUCGCUUCUUAGAGGAAGAUUUUUAAGGAACGAGAGGCCUGCAGAUCAAGAGAGAACUCCAUCAACGGCUUCUAGGGAACUUCUUCAGCUAAGAGAAAGACAGACCGUCUCUGGUUUGAGGUAAGAGUUCCUUUUACUUAUUACAAUGGUUAAAACAAUGAUCUCAUGCAGCUUCAUCCAGCGGCAAGACUCCAGCUCAAUAGAAUAAAAUUAAUCUCAUCACAAUAACAUAAUUGUACUAGAAACUCGUAAAGGACGACUAUACAAUGUCUGCAUCUUAUUGAAGAUAACGUAUAAAUAAUUUAGUCCUCUUUAUCUUUCUGAUCUUUUGUUGUGUUCUUGCUUGUCCUUUCAUCUUAUAUGAUUACACAAAACACUUUUGGCAUUUAGCUUGCUCGUUAAUAAUUGGCCAAACGUCGCUUUGAUUUUGUCACAGGGAGGGGUUCCAUAACGGGAGGGAAAGUAUUGUCCGUGAAAAUAGUAGCGACACUGAUAGUAAUAGCACAAUUGCUCUAGCAACUGAUGCCACCGCUGAGAAUUCUCAGCAUAUAACCGAUGAUAGUUCAGCAACUUCUUCUAGACAAGGGAAUAAUAGUCCCCUCCCGCAUGAUGACUCGGUUAGGUCGGAAAGCAACCUAGCAAAUGAAGAUAGAGAUUGGGAAGAGGAUACCAAUCAAAGAAGGGUUUGGCAGGAAGAUGUCACAGCAGACGAGAGGCUAAAUCUGCAGCAAACAACGUUGACCCAAUCUAGUGAUUGGGGAAAUGGUAACGCAGAUAUAAACCAUGAUGAGACUUCCGUCAGUGACAUACACCGAGAAGCCUCUGGAAUUACAGAUGAUGAAGGUCACACACAAGAAAGUCAUGGUGUUUGGCAUGAGGAUGUCCCUAGACAAUCGAAUGGGAACUGGACUGAGACACGGUCAGAAGCCCCAAGGACUCGCCGUGUAGUACCAUUGAGAAGAUUAAGUAGGUUUCAUCCACCUGAGGAUGACAAUGUUUACAGCAUGGAACUCAGGGAGCUCCUAGGCAGGUACUUGAAAAAAAUGGAUUUGUUUUAUUUCUUUAAUACUUUCUUUGUUUUCUGUUAGUGUAACAUGAUUUCUACUGUCAUUCCUGUUUGUAGGAGAAGUGUUUCUAAUCUACUACAUAGUGGGUUCCGUGAAAGUCUGGAUCAACUGAUACAAUCAUAUGCUGAAAGGAGAGUUCACACUCAUGAUGACUGGGAUCUGCACGAUAACCUGCAAACAGCAAUCCCAGAUUCUCCAGAGCGUGACAGAGACCACCAAGUAUUUGUACAGAACGAUAAUCAGCUUAAUGACAUCAAUGGUCCACAAAUGCUUCCCACCCCACCCGUGCCACCACCCCAGCCAAUAUGGCACCACUCUAGCUGGUCUCGCCACUCUAUGCAUCGGUCUGAAAUGGUGGGUUUUAGCCUUGAGCCUGUAACUGAUUAAUGAAUGGUCUUGAUUGAGUACCA
rnacentral:lncRNA from 1 species